AUUCCUACGGGAGGCAGCAGUAGGGAAUCUUCCACAAUGGACGCAAGUCUGAUGGAGCAACGCCGCGUGAGUGAAGAAGGGUUUCGGCUCGUAAAACGCUGUUGUUGGAGAAGAACCGGGGGUAGAGCAACUGUUAUCCCCUUGACGGUAUCCAACCAGAAAGCCACGGCUAACUACGUGCCAGCAGCCGCGGUAAUAAU
rnacentral:rRNA from 1 species